rnacentral:rRNA from 1 species
UACGUAGGGUGCAAGCGUUGUCCGGAAUUAUUGGGCGUAAAGAGCUCGUAGGCGGUCUGUCGCGUCGGAUGUGAAAAUCCAGGGCUCAACCCUGGACCUGCAUUCGAUACGGGCAGACUAGAGUUCGGUAGGGGAGACUGGAAUUCCUGGUGUAGCGGUGAAAUGCGCAGAUAUCAGGAGGAACACCGGUGGCGAAGGCGGGUCUCUGGGCCGAAACUGACGCUGAGGACCGAAAGCGUGGGGAGCAAACAGG